AUUAUGAGACGGAGGGGAUGGUACAGAAGUGGAAGCCCAGCCACCCACUCACCACGGACUCACUGUUAACAAAGAGCAGCACAGCUGCUCCUGGAGAACUGGAACCAGCCAGCUAUGCACCCAUGACUUCAUUUCUUUCCUGCUAAUGAAGAGGUUUCGCAGCUUCAGAUUCUGUGUUGGCAGUUUCUUGGCCAGUUUUCAUUUCCUGUUGACCAGAUAAGAUCUCUGCCAGUAUGGAAGCUAACUCCUCCAUCGCUGCCCUAGCAAGAAGCAAGCACGCUGAAUCAUAUCGAUAUAAAUCUACCCUUCGUAUAAGUCUAAUCCUCUUUGGAAGUAUCAUCCACCCUAACAUAAGCUUUGUCACUUUUUAUGAGUGAUGAUGAAUAUUAAUUAAUUAUUCUAGCCCACUUGCUUGCAUGUUUGUAAAUAGAUGGCUAUUACAGUAAUUAAAAUAGCAAGACAAUAGUAGCAAAAUGGCUUCAGUCUUCUCUGAUCACUGAAAUUGACAUAAAUACAUAUCUUUAAGAACACCGUUUCUGCCCGUGUUCCUCAGGACAGGUCACUGUUCGAUUCCAUAUGCACAUGGACCCACUUUCUGGCAGUUGAAGCUGAACACUUACGUUCAGAGUCAACACAGAGCCCCAGGCAGGCUGAGCCCCAUUGCAUUGCACACCAUUCAGCUAACACAAAUUCAGACCUAGUGACAAGGGCUUCCACUCAGCCAGUUCUGUGUUCCCAAAAGUUCAGCUUGGUGUUUUCAUCCCGAAUGAUGGAGAAGCGAGGGGAGAGCUGAAUAUCGUAUCCUCUUUUUUUUUUGCCACUGACUACCAGCGGUUUGCAGCAUUGGAGACAAACCCCUUGAGUGUAAUUACUUGCACAUAAUCUUCCUCCUGUAGACAAGGCUAUGAUGAGUUCAAGGCACUGUGUGCUGAUAUCCUAAUCUGUGUUUUAAAUGGAGCUUUCUGUUGGGAGAUGCCUAUUCCAUUGCCUGUAUAACUGCUCCUGCUCCAUCUCUCUGCGCCUCCCUGUGCCAUGGCAUGCUCUCUGAUGAACACAGGAUAAAACACAGAAAACGUGCCCUGUAGUCCUGUCUCCCAAGGCCCACCUCCUGCCGUCAAGCUGUGGUGGCACUUUUUCCACCUCUACCAGUCAAACUAGUUAUUGAAAUGUUUUUGUUUGUUUUCUGCUGUUUCCCUCCCUCGCCUUCAGUCGAUGUUUGUAAAGCAUUUAACACUACACCAGGCGGGUUAAUUUACUGCACUGGUAAAACAGGCUAUUUGGAGUGUCUUGCAACACUGACAUGUUUUCUGCUUGAAAAUCAGAUGUCUCCAUCCCAAAGGAAAGAAUUCCUGCCAAAGCUUUGUUUAUAUCGAUGCCAGGUGCAAUCUGGCCCAACAGUGGUAAUGACAUAUGAACACUAAACAGUUUGUAAAAAGCGUGCUUCAAAAUGAAAUCUGAAUCCUGUAUAUAAAGACCCAGGUAAGAGUCUUAGUAUGAAUU
rnacentral:lncRNA from 1 species